CCGCUUAGAGUAAAACGGGUGGGCCCUCGAAGCUCGAAAGCGGUGGGAUUCAGUCUCCGGGCGAUCGCGGAGCCGGCGGCGUCAGGUAAACGGCCCCCCUCGGGGGGCUGUUCCGGCUGCUGGCACGCAGACGCGGUCUCCGGGGUGCGCACUUCCCACCGCCGGUAGAACGCCGCGACGGACGCGGGUCAAAGGGAACAAGCACGACUUUGAGUCCGGCAGUGGAGGUGACCUGCCCGUCCCUUCGGGGACGGCACGCGGGAGUUACACCUCGCCGUGCACGAGAAGUUCGUCACCCCGUCCAGGCCCCAUGGGCUUCUCCCGGCUGUCGGGAGGCCCGAACGAUGACGCCCUCCGGAAACGGAGCGGAGGACCCGCUGGGCAAGCUUGUCGUCUCCUGCUGUCCGGGUUGGUCCCGCGGCGGCGGGUUGGCCGGCGAGAAGCCGCUGCGAGCGGGGUAAUUCUCCCGCGGAGGCGCUAUCGUGGUUUGCGGCGAGUAGGUCGGUAACCCACCCGACCCGUCUUGAAAC
rnacentral:rRNA from 1 species